GGUUUCUUCACGAUCAAUGUGUUCAAGAAAAGCCCACGCUGGGGCAAGUCAGUGACCCUGUCCGGUUGCAACUACGGUUUCUCAACUUCUACCUGGAACAACAAUGGCACACACCUGAGGGAAAAGAACUUUCAAAGGAGGAAGUACUUGCUUGUCAGAAAGUAAUUGGACGUUGCCUAUCACAGAGGCUGAUGGACAUUGCCCGUGACCACCUCGCUCGGAAUGCCUGGCUACAGAUAUGAUGGCGAAUAAUAGGAAACACAACUGUCGCUCUUGUAGCGUCCCAACUCCUGGCUGCUGAAUCUUCCAUGGACUAUCAAGCUGGAGACGAGCUACAGCACAACAGGGGCCUACCGCACCC